UACGUAGGGUGCAAGCGUUUGUCCGGAAUUAUUGGGCGUAAAGAGCUUGUAGGCGGUUUGUCGCGUCUGCUGUGAAAUUUCGGGGCUCAACCCCGAACUUGCAGUGGGUACGGGCAGACUAGAGUGUGGUAGGGGAGACUGGAAUUCCUGGUGUAGCGGUGAAAUGCGCAGAUAUCAGGAGGAACACCGAUGGCGAAGGCAGCCCCCUGGGCCAACACUGACGCUCAGGCACGAAAGCGUGGGGAGCAAACAGG
rnacentral:rRNA from 1 species